AGAUUGAACGCUGGCGGCAUGCCUAACACAUGCAAGUCGAACGGGAGUAGCAAUACUCUAGUGGCGGACGGGUGAGGAAUACGUAGGAAUUUGCCCUUAAGUGGGGGAUAACCCGGGGAAACCCGGAUUAAUACCGCAUGACCUCGAAAGAGCAAAGUGGGGGGAUCGCAAGACCUCACGCUUUUGGAGAAGCCUACGUCGGAUUAGCUAGUUGGUGAGGUAAUGGCUCACCAAGGCGACGAUCCGUAACUGGUCUGAGAGGAUGAUCAGUCACACCGGAACUGAGACACGGUCCGGACUCCUACGGGAGGCAGCAGGUGGGGAAUAGUUGGACAAGUGGGCGACAAGGCCUGGAUCCAGGCCAAUGCCGCGUGUGUGAAGAGGUCCGUUGGGUUAGUAAGUCACGUUUAAGGUUAGGAAGAAAAACGUCGACUCUAAC
rnacentral:rRNA from 1 species